GAGACCACAACGUUGAUAGGUGAGGUGUGGAAGCGUGGUGACACGUUAAGCUAACUCAUACUAAUUGCCCGAGAGGCUUAACCAUACAACGCCCAAGGUGUU
rnacentral:rRNA from 1 species